rnacentral:rRNA from 1 species
CCUACGGGGGGCUGCAGUGGGGAAUAUUGCACAAUGGGCGAAACCCUGAUGCAGCGACGCCGCGUGAGUGAUGAAGUAAUUCGUUAUGUAAAGCUCUAUCAGCAGGGAAGAAAAUGACGGUACCUGAGUAAGAAGCACCGGCUAACUACGUGCCAGCAGCCGCGGGAAGACGGAGGGCGCACGCGUUAUCCGGAUUUACUGGGGGUAAAGGGAGCGUAGACGGCAGUGCAAGUCAGGAGUGAAAGGCGGGGGCUCAACCCCCGGACUGCUCUGGAAACUGUACGGCUGGAGUGCAGGAGAGGUAAGUGGAAUGCCUGGUGUAGCGGUGAAAUGCGUAGAUAGCAGGAGGAACACCAGUGGCGAAGGCGACUUACUGGACUGUAACUGACGUUGAGGCUCGAAAGCGUGGGGAGCAAACAGGAUUAGAUACCCGAGUAGUC